UGCCAUGAUUGGGGUUCGCGUUGCUCGAGUACACACUUUCAGUCAAAGUUUUCCUUACACUUUGCUAUAUUUUUUAAAGAAGUAUAAACUGCAGCAGGUCUUGACUAGUUUGAAGUGUAUGAAGAUUCAGCACUAACGUUGAGUAAAAUUUUGGUCCGAAAGAAAAAGUUUAAUGCGAAAGUUAAAGAAGAAUUAUUGGAUUUGUUGCUCGUACAUUCCUUAAACAAUGUGAAAGGUGCAAAAUACUAUGAGUUCAGAAAUGAGAUUAGAAGGUUUGUGGACCUUCAGUCAUGGCCAUUUUAAGUUCCUUGAACAUGCUGAUAGAUCUCAGACAACAGCAGCAGCUACCACAGAUAGCGAAUGUCAGUCACUUUCCAUCCAUUGGAUUCUCAUGCUGUCAAAAGCCUAAAACUCAUGUUAGAAGCCCACCUAUAGUGAAAUACAAAUGUGCGGAGAUAAGGUAUUUCCCAUUACUGCUACCACACCAACCACACUACGUCAAAUGCCUUACUAAAUCAUCACCCAUAUGAUAAAGCAUCAGGAAAUUUAUCCCACCUGAGGAGUAAUGUGGUUGUUUGCUGUAAUUCCAUUAUUACGGUUUUUCAUCAUGAACAUUUCAGUGUGCUUCUUAGAAAGGAGCAUGUAAGAUCCCCAUGGACAUCCUUGAGCCAAUGCUGGAUUUGUCCAUGACAGAAGAGGGACUUCCAGUCUUCCACCAACGUUCUUCUCCAUCCUUAUCUUCAAGACGUACGCUCAUCCAGCUUCACUACUUCAGUGCUUCUUAUGCUGCUAGCCUGCUACACAACUUUUCUUGCUUUCUUUGUGAGUUGGAUCACUUCAGUUGCUGUGACACACCUACAGUCACUCACCACGGGAUUAUGGCCAGAUAAUGCAGAAAAGACGUCGAAAAGAUGGACAGCAAAACAUCUCCGGUAUCUCCAAAAUGUCAGCGCGGAUCAUCAUUUGUUGUUGGUAAUAUGUUUGUGUUUGUGUUAGUUAACCCGUUGGCUGCCACGCCUUUGUUCUCCCCUGCACGGGCCGCGCUGUUCGGUCUCGUGGUUUACAAGCCGCGGGGUCGGAGAGUCGCCAAGCCCAAAAUCUGCCGCAAGGCGCCUGUUAACAGGCAAUGCACCUUAGUCCCCCCCUUGUCAGCACGGACUUGUCAGCAAUGGCAAGUCCCACCUUGGUCAUGGAUCCUUAAGACGUGGCGCGUAGAGUAGUAGAGUGCAACCUACGGGUUGUAUGGCGUGGCAGCCAACGGGUUAACUUAAGUGUAUGUAUGUAUGUAUAUGUGUGAUUGUAAAAAGUGGAGGAAUUGUGGGUGGAGGUGGGAAAAUAAAGCAAUUCCUUUUCAUGUUUAUGUUCAUUGUG